AGAAGGGGAAAAGGUGGGGGUUGGGACCUGUUGGAGGAGUGGUGGACUCUAAAUUAAAAAGGUUCUUAAUUCUGAUCAAGUAUUCUAAAGUUGUGUUAUUUUAGAGUUGGAAAACUUGGUGGAUGAGAAAGUUUAUGAUACAAUUAAUUAAGGCUUUAGUGGUAGACUUGGUAAAUGGAUUUUGAUAUGAUUUCAUCUAUUUUGUGAUAUGUUGACAGCUUGAUCUGCAGAAUUUUCAUUUUCUUAGGUGGGGUUUGGGUUUAAUUGUGAUCUAGUUUGCAUUGCUCAAUUAUAACUUCUGGCGAUUUUAUAGAAUUUGGCCAUGGGCUGAGAUUUUCCUUGCUGCUUCCAGUUUGUUCUUGACUAAGAUUUUCCUUGCUGCUCCCAGUUUGUUCUUGACAAAGAAAACUCACAGGUAGAGCUCUUUUGCAGAUAGAGUUCUCAUCACUCGUGGA
rnacentral:misc_RNA from 1 species